AUUGAACGCUGGCGGCAGGCCUAACACAUGCAAGUCGAACGAGUGGCGGACGGGUGAGUAAUGUCUGGGAAACUGCCCGAUGGAGGGGGAUAACUACUGGAAACGGUAGCUAAUACCGCAUACCAUCGGAUGUGCCCAGAUGGGAUUAGCUAGUAGGUGGGGUAACGGCUCACCUAGGCGACGAUCCCUAGCUGGUCUGAGAGGAUGACCAGCCACACUGGAACUGAGCCACGGUCCAAGCUCCCACGGUAGGGAGGAGUGGGGAAUAUUGCACAAUGGGCGCAAGCCUGAUGCAACCAUGCCGCGUGUAUGAAGGAGGCCUUCGGGUUGUAAAGUACUUUCAGCGGGGAGGCGUUACCCGGAGAAGAAGCACCGGCUAACUCCGUGCCAGCAGCCGGGGUAAUAC
rnacentral:rRNA from 1 species